UCGGUGGAAUAUCUGCCAUAAAGUACAUUGUCUAGUACAGGUUUGCCAUGGAGGAAGGUUAGGUAUUUUUUUUUCUUGUGUUUAUAGGUAUCCAGGUCAUUAGAGUAGCUAACUUUAGGUAUGACAGUUAAACUAAAAUUAUACUAAUCAGCGAAAGUCUUAGAGAUAUAAAUUUGAGUGGGGUGGAUGUUUUGUUGGCAUGGAGAACUGCGUUGGUGAAUGCCAUAGAGCAACACCACUGUGUAACAAGCGAAAGAGUAUGGGUGCCGUGUUGUUUGCUAGUCGCAGCUGGGACCGUAACAACUCAAACGCAAGUGACAUUUGAACUUGAUCUGUCGACGUUCCAUUGGAGAUGGAACAUUCCCUCUGAUAGAUCUUACGAUCCACGCUGUGCUUGUAACUUGCUUGAUGCGUACGUACUUUUGGACUCUGGGCGUAUUAUAGAAGCACGGGUGAGAAUGUAAAAUUUUUUUGUACCUACAAUCGGCUAAAUAUGUCCGUUGCAGCCUAGACACGUCAGUUCAACAGAACUCUCCUACGAUGGCAAGAAUAAAAGGGGGUCCUCAUUGACUCGAAGGGUGUGCGCGGUAUGAAAAAUUUCCGGAUAUCCCAUUUAAGGCAGCAGAGGAUCAAUUCGGCAUUCACCGGUCGUUAUUUGCUAUAUUCUAUACACGCGACCAGUGGCAAGUCAAGCGAUUGGCUGGAGCCGAAGCGCGGUCAUUGUAACUGAAAUCGAUAGAAUAGGCCGCUGGCUUGCGUAUUUUUUCGGUAAAUGGCUGGGCCGGCGCGCUUGCCUGCGAUAGAAAAGGUCGUCUGAUAAAAGUAGUCCCGGUCAAGCAUUAAAAUACCGGAGGCAAUAUUUCCAGAUCAGGCAAUGUUAUUUAGACAGCAAUAGUUAUGAUAGCGGUUGUAAAGCGAAUAUCUACGUACGUACAUAGAUAUGUCAGCGCGACGCUGAUUUUGGUGGCUUGAACGUCGACUCGGCGCCAAUCAUUCAACCGCGUCAACAUCUAGUCACCGCCAGCAGAAAGAAGUUAAGGCAGGAUCAGCUGCAGCCGUUGUCGCGCCUACUCUUGUGGCCAUGGCAGAAGACGCAGUUCUCAGGACGCGCGACUCCCUUCUACUCGGUGUCAACGGCCUUUAACUAUCGACGUGCAAAAUCUUCAAGAGUGAGAGCGAUGCCUGGAUAGCUAGACCACAACUAUCUAGUCAACCACGUAAGCGACUAAACAGGCGGUAGUGUCAUCAACAGCCGCGCGAGGACCGCGGCGAUACCCGGCCACCAUCAGUUGCAGCCAUUUGUUACAGGGCGUCGUAUUCUACAAUGAUGACGAUCGUAACGGCGAUGGCCGUUAUCUGAGCGAAUAUCCCAAAGGCUGCCUCGAGAACGCAGUGGUUCUGGCGCUACGGUUUAAUACGCGUUACACUGCUAAGCUGUUGGUGUUUACUACGGUAUUGCCUCGACAGUAAGGCAAGGGGCUUAUUCGAGGGCAGUCCACUGCGGACGGUGGGUGACAGGCCGUAGAAAUGGUGGUGGAUUGCUUUGAGAUGGAAUCAUGUCAAAAAAGAAAAAAAGCAAGAACAACGUCAAGCAGUAACGAAUGUCGGCUGUGUCGACAACACAGCAUACUGAUGUCUGCGCGUCCGAUAUGCUACGAUGGGGUCGGUGCAUCAAAUCAUACGUGUUUGGAGUAAUCGAAUAGAGUGCAUUUACUAUGGAAUACAUAUAGAUAUGGUUAUAUAAUGUUUCUAUAGCCCAGAUGACUCGAUACCAAAGCUGGCAUCGAACACUUAGCGCAAAAGAGGCGAUUUUCCGCUUUCGACAAUUGCAUCGAAAUGAAUACAUCACGUAUGAGUGCUUCAGGAUUCUGCGCGAGUUAUUUCUAGCCAGACCAAGACUGAAUAUAUCGGAUGGGCGAAAUAUGGACGCGCACAGAAGAGACGAAAAGCCGCUAAACGUUGCUAACAUCCACAAGCAGUGCUAUCAAUAUGGUAAUAUAGAUAAAGAAAUAGUAAUCAUCAGAACUUAGUAAAGUGAAGUUGAUUUUCAAAGCGCUUGACCAUCAGUACCGGCUUCUAUACCUGAAAUUUCAUGUAGUACUUCGAAAAUAAAAUGCUACACCUUCUCCGAUAGACGCGUUCUAGCCGCUAGAGAUGAUAGUUGGACCUGGAAAUGGCACACGCUGCUAGAUAUAUUAGAUCAUACGUGGUUCUCUAUACUAGUAGAUUUUCAUAAUCUUAAGACUACCAUUGCCUUUGAGAUAUCGACACGGUUUAGUGGUUUCCACUUAACCCAACUUAUUAAUGCGAGCAAUUAAUUUUCACAAGUUGUUUUGUUUCACUUUUUCAAGUUUUUUUUUAGUGAACGACCUCUAUGAGAUUGAACUUCUUUUCAUAUGUCACAUAACCUGGCUACGCCAAUAGUAGUAAUAAAAAUGUCUAUGACAUUAAAAACAUUUGUUUGACGUUUAUAUAACUAAAGUUACUGCAAAUAAGUGAAUAAUAAUCAAAAAAGAAUAGCUGAAAUAGAAAUUUUCUAACUUUCGACCAAAUAUAACAGGUAAGUAUUCCACCUGGUCUUUAUGUGAGCUUGCAAAGCUGUUGGCUGCAACUUCACUAAAAAAAAUUAUUAAAAGAUACUUAUGAGCAAUUAUUAGUUAGAAAUAUAAAACACUACGUUCAGAUAGUGCAGUACGAAAGCAAAGGUAUCGGAGACGGAAUGGGCUUUAGCGCCUCCUGUUGGAACUAAGCAUAUAUAGGCAGUAGAAGGAAAAUCAUUCGUGAACUUGAGCCUAUGCGGAAACAAACGUCACUCUCAAAUUGAUAUUACACUGAACUAUGUCAGGCCAUACAUAAGGUAAAUGUUGGUGGAUGGCAAAGAUAUUUCCGUGGCCUACGUCUGGUAUACGACAAAGGUGCAGUGCAAUUUUAAUAUAGUAUCUUAAUAAGUGCAGCAUAAUACUGCGGUCAUUUAGAGAGCCAAAAAUCGAUAGUUUGGCCCUUAUCGACACAUUUCGAAAUAUGACGUAAAGGAUAUUCCUGAUAACUAAAUUUGUUCACAAAAAAAAGUUAGACCUUCAUUUAAUGCCUUUAUCCAUUUCAUAAGUUAUACAUCUUACGGCAAGCCACAGUAGCAUUAGAUAACAAUCAUCAUCCUCAGUUAUUCUUACAUCAUUGUCAGUUGUUCGUGUUUUUUUCGUCUCGAGUUUUAACCUUAUAGGCUUGAUAUUAAUAUACAAAAUAGUAAAUGUUAAAUAUCAUCACUAUCACAUAAUAGUAACAAUUCAAACGUUUCAAUCUUUUAUCCCGAAUCGCUGUUACAAUCUUCAUCAACAACGAUAACAAGAGGUACAUAUGAAGUUCACAGCCCUAAUACUUCAACUGCAAGUGCGACGGCAACUGUUUCUUUUCCAACUAUUUACUUGCCUGCGUAUCAUUCAUUGGCAAGUAUCAAACUGUUUCCGACUCUCGUGCGGCGUAUGAAAUAUUUGCGUAUCUUAUAGGUACAAACAGAGCGAGCGAGCUCGGUUGUUAUGGCGAUGUUGGCAAAUCACCAGAAUGCGCGUUGUCUCGCCUCGCUGCGCCAUUCUUAAUGUUGAGAAUAUGUAUUUGUAAAUGUGUGUGAGUGUGAGAUCCAAGCUGAUGCAAGAAUCCCUAGCUAGUUGGAAGAAAAAUCCCUAGACAACUUAGUAGCUGUGAAAAAGCACAUUAAUAAUAAACUUUCUGUCCAAUUGUCAGGAGUCUUUUUCAGAGACUGAGUACCCUGUGUAUUCCAGUUGUCAACAGUAACGGCAGGGGCGCUCCUAUUGUUCAAAGGGUUUUCUUUGUUAUUAGCUCUAUAAAUGCGUCUGUUUGGAUAUUACAUGUGAUGAACGUGAUGGCAGCCAGCUAAGUGAUCCGGUAACACGGUCCCCAAUGACUUUUCCUACGUUUCCCUUUUUCUCUGCGUCGGUCUUUUACGUUUUCGCCCUUCUGGGACAAUGACGUUGAGUCAUCGUACGCGCUUCCUUAACACUUCCCUUUAAAGUAGACUAAUGGGCUUUAACAGAACUGGCUACAAGCUAUUGGUACUGACCCUAUAUCCCAAGCAACAAAUCAUUCUUCAUGUCACUAGGUCGCAACAAAAUGAGAAAGGCACCUGGUUGACAAUUGCCGGUAAACAAACUGCGUUGCCAAGUAACCUGUACGUUUCUUUAAAGGAUUGUUGGCGCAACGAGGCCAAAAACAGACACUAUUUGCUAAGAGUAUUCGAACUAACUAUCGUUUCACAAGUUGAAAAGAAUUAAGCUAAGUCACAUUAUUUUCUUGUUGUUGUCAAACAAAGUUGUCAUUCUCACCGGUAACUGUGACACAACGGAACAAAAAACUACACACUCACGGAGGUCUCGCUGUAAUCAGCAAGUCAACAACCUCAACGACAAUAAACACCGAAGCGGAAUCUAUUGGAAGAGGAGAGUUCCGUGAGGUUAUAAACCUGCUUCGAUUUAGGAGAACCCGUUCGUCGGACACGGAUCCAGACAGAAAUCACUUACAAAUCUUGUAAGAACUCUGAUCAGGACAACUAAAGAAGGCGAAGUCGCUACAAUUUUUAAUGUCCUUCCAGGAAUAAACUAUUACGAUUAAAUAAACAGUUGGUAGGCUGUUAAUAAUUGUCGGUCGAUUUAAUAAAGAGGCCGCGAAUUCAGCGCUCGCAAAAGGCAAAAUAUUCAUUGGCUAAAUACCUCAGCUAGACGGAGACUGGGUGCCGAUCCUUUUUGCAGCUUAAGAUGAGUUUUCACACUGAAACGACGUAUCAUAAAAGGUAAGCCGUAUGACUCUGUUUCACUUUAAGAAGCUCGCUCAUAGAGCUUCUUUUGCCAUGCGGAUCUGAGUAACCAGCUUACAGUCAAAUUAAAAGCCCUGUUUAGUAUUGGUGGGAAAUUUUGUUGGGACAUUUAACUGAAGCUCCAGUGACUGGAUAUAAAACAAAAGAAAACAGCCAAGAUAUCCUCAAAAAUGAGAGCGAAGGGAAGCUUUGACGUCAAUGGCGAAGUACUCUUCGGAGCUUUUAUAUGAGAGACAUCCAUGAGUACCUAGCAGAACAAUAGGAACGAUAUACCCAGGAGCUCCACUGCAGCCACCGUGCUAGAUAAAUACCGCACAAUUCGGAGGCUACAGGGAGACAAAAAAAACAAGUUUCGUGCUUCCUGACGCAGUUAAUGGUGGGAAUUUUGAACUUUCAAAGUUUUAUUCUCUGCGUAGGAAAAACCUUGUCUAAUCUACGCGUGAAUAUAAUUACCAAUAUGGUUUAGGGGAUCAACCUCUUGUACACAGGAAGAAUGCCAAGCCUGUCAAAAAUAGACUGACUAACCUAAACCUUAAAAGGAGUUGCGAAAGCGGACAUUUGUACCCUACACUUGCGAAAAUAAAGAGAAACGUUAACUGGAGGAGACCCAAGCAAGAAAAACGCGUUGAAAACAGAGUUAUUAGGACAAAAGCGCAUUGAAAACUCCUUGAAAUUGACCGGAGGACGCAGAAAUGCCGACGUUUUAAAGAGUUCGUUGUUACAGGAUACUUCGGCGAUUUUCCUCUGCACGAGUCAGGGCGCAUUCUAUGCGUUAACAACCCCGGUUAACCACACACAUUCGAUACGGAGGCGCUCAUUGUGUCUCCUGGGAGUUCUAGGAUUAGUUUACAAUGCAAAGUUGGGAUGUUAGAGGGUGAAGUAUGCAAGAAAUGAAUUAUAGGUCUAGUAAGCAUGACCUCGGCAACCCAAGACGUCCUCAGAAACGCCGCACGCUGCUCCGAAACCGGAUGCAUUGUCACGCCAGCGUGGUAGUUUGCAGUAAUGCAUUCGCAGUUCUCCUUUGCAGGAGAAGGCAUGGAGGCAGUCGAACAAACAACGUUGGAGUAAACUACAAUGUCAAAAAUUUAUCAAAUCAAGUGCAUAUGUUCCAGUCAAUUGUGCUCAGUGAUUUUUUUUUCAAAAAUUAGUGGUCUAUCUUUAUAAUUAUUUUUAAAAAAGUUUCAACCGUACAAGGUCGACCUUAUGCAAAUGCUUAAUUUUACAAACUGUAAUCCCAUCCAGCUGAAAUAAUUUUUCAAAUAUUGUAGUUUCGAUCUUUAUGAUUCAUUGGGAAAAUGUUUGCUUGACUGUGUUUACGGAGCAAGAGAACUUCCUUCGCUGAGUCACUACAGCUAUAACAUAAGUCCGUUGUGAUAAACUGCAUCAGCAGUUAUUUCCUGGUACUACUUCUACCACUAAGUUGAGUUUAUAUCAUCUUAAUUAUGAUGAAAAACAAAUAUUGUGUGCCGUGAUGUUUAUCAAAACAAAUAACAAAUGUAAAAUGGAUGCAAGUAUCACGUUAAUAUUUUAUGUUUAGUAGCGUGUUGGCACUCGUUCUGUAACUAUAAUAGAUGAUAUCUCCAACGAUUUCAG